rnacentral:tRNA from 1 species
AAAUAAUAAAAUAGUUAGUUUCGACCUAACUUAAGAAUUUAAUAAUUCAUUAUUUA